CAACUCUUUUAUAUAUCUAAUUAAUUCUAGGUAUGCUGGAGUUCCCGUCGUGGCGCAGUGGUUAACGAAUCCGACUAGGAACCAUGAGGUUGCGGGUUCGGUCCCUGCCCUUGCUCAGUGGGUUAACGAUCCGGCGUUGCCGUGAGCUGUGGUGUAGGUUGCAGACGUGGCUCGGAUCCCACGUUGCUGUGGCUCUGGCAUAGGCUGGCAGCUACAGCUCCGAUUAGACCCCUAGCCUAGGAAAACUCCAUACGCCGCGGGAGCAGCCCGAGAAAUAGCAAAAAGACAAAAAAUAAUAAUAAUAAUAAUAAUAAUAAUAAUUCUAGGUAUGCUAAACGUGUAUGUUUCUGUUUAAAAAUGAUUUUGUCCCCCUCUUUGUAGAUCUUCUAAUUGGAAGAAAGAAAAUCUUUUGAAGUAGAAGUUCAGUGAAGGGCCUCAUUGUUUCAUAACCCUAGGGGCAAAGCAUUGUCUCUCUUCACUCCAAGCCCCCCAAGAAGCACAGAGUCUGCACUCAGAUGUUUUCUCUUGGUUUGUCAGUCAUGCUGUUCAUGCUGUUCUCAUCCUUUCAAACAUGGUAAAUGUGGUAAAGACAUUUAUGAACAAAGGGAUGAAGUGUUUCUGAAGGACCACCCGAGAGAGUCAGGGGACAUAUCUUCAUGUUUAAGGUAGGUCUUACAGAGUGAGUCUAAAUUUGUCAGGUGUAAAGGUGGAAGAAGGGCAUUCUAGAAAAAAAUGAAGUGGAAUAUUAUGUGCAAAGCUCAGCAUAGAAAGGUUAUGGUGUGUUUGGAAAACAGCAAAAAGCAGAUAAGGCUAAAAUAAUUCUAGCUGUCAGCAUGGAGGAUAGAAAGAGUAAAGAUGGAUUGGUGACAAUAGAGACAGGUGGGAGGCUAUCUCAGCAAUUAGCCAACCGCUACUGAGGGCUCAGACCAAGAAGGUUAGUGGGAAUGAAGACAAUAAGUUGGAUUCAAAAAAUAUUUCAGAGGUAGCAUAAGCAGCAUUUGAUGAUGGAAUAAUUGUUUCAGGGAAAUUAUGCAGUGAAUUUGGGGGACAAUGACCCAUUAAACGAGACAGCAAAUACAAGUGGUAAAGCAGGUUUGGGAUGCUCAGAUAAAAGAGUGGAAACACACCUAACGCAAAUGCUGGGGGAAGCAUGUCCAUACCCAUGCCUAUGGGGAAAUGGAAGUAAAGAGGAUGAAACAACUUUCUAGCACUUUAUUCUUCCUGUUUUCAAAAAUAACUUGAGACAACUGUCAAUAUUUGUGGUGGUGCACACAGUUGCUUAUAU
rnacentral:lncRNA from 1 species